UGUUGUUCUGCAGAUAGUGAAGUACUUCAUUGAUGCAAAGACAUUCAUCAAGGUGAAGUUUGUUUACCCGAAGAACCCUGAAAGCGUGGAGCUUAUGAGCUCAUUUUUCGACGAGGAGAACCUCCCAACGGAGUUUGGAGGGAAGGCUUUGUUGCAGUAUAACCAUGAAGAGUUCUCUAAGCAAAUGAACCAAGACGAUGUUAAAACUGCAGACUUUUGGGGAUUGGUUCAUAGUAACAACAAUCACCAGCAGCAGUCCAGCAGUGGAUUUUCUGGAGCUGAGAUUGCUCCUGAGCCAAUACAAACCAACACUUAAAACUAGCUUUGAAAGGCUAUGUAUUGUUGUAACCAACCCUUUUUCAAAUGGGGACAAAGAUAAAGAUAGCUCUUGAUGCUUAGAGGAGAGGACACAGAGAUGUAAGAUUUAGACUCGGUAUUUGAUUAAAUAAAAGGAUUUGUGUGUUAUAAGCAGCUCUUGCAGGUGUUAUAAGUGAUUCCAAUAAUACUUUACACUCAAAAGCAUUUAUUUACAGGAAGAAGACAAGCUUUGUUUCUUUCAGUAUCAUCAAUCUCAACAAACCCAAGAAGAAGAAGAGAAUGGUUUCUUUCAAAAUUUGAAGGCACACAGAAGAAAAAAAAAAACAGAUGAAGAAAGAUUAUCAUACUACACAAAUGUAUUAGCUAUUAAACUCUAUUAAGUUUAGAGAUUUGCGUUGGAGUGGAGUUAGAGAGAGAGACAGAGAAGGCCAAGAAGCUUGAGGCAAGUUUAAGUGAGACUACUAGAUGAGUCUUCUUCUGAAGUUUCUGGUGGUUGAUUGAUAGGUUCGCACCAGAAGGCCAACACCAAUGCCGAGACCUACACAGACGCCAAGACCAAUUCCAACGCCAACCCUCACACCAGCAUUGAACCACGACAUUUCGCCAUCUUCAACAUCUGCGUACUCUCUUCCCAUAUACAUGUCUCCGUAUUCUCCUUCAUAGUCUUGUUUAUAGUUUCCGUAUUCUGUUGCCUACACAAUUUUAAAAAACUCCCAUACUUAGGACAAAACAUUGCAAAGAAUAUGUUUUGGUACAUGGCUCUCUGAAACGAAAAUAAGAAAGAUACAUUCAUAGAGAUAGUCAAGUAAAGAACACAAUGGCCAUUCAACCAGUACUUGUAGAAUAGAGGCUAAUAGUACUUUUAUUCUCAUACUGGUGUUUAGACCUCCAUGAUAUUUAGGUGGAAGUUAUAGACACUAAUAUAGUUUAAGGGAAGCUAAUAACCUAUAGUGAGUUCUAAGAACCAUUCCAAAUAGGUCAACUGCAAUAAAACCUUCAAGCAUAAGUUAAUCUUAACAUUUGAUUCUUCAAUAGGUUAACAUCUUCCCUGGUAAGUAGUCUAUGCAUAAACUAAAGUUGAUAUAUUGUGGCACUAAUGUGAUAACCACAAUGAAUCACAUAAGAACUGAAUGUAGCAGACAGGAGGAUAAGAAUUCAAACAUUAAGAUCACAUGACAAGAGAGAGAGAGAGAGAGAGAGAGAGAGCUUUCUAUUAAUAUGUCAGGCCCCAUACAUCACAUGAUCAUUUAUCAAGAGCUGGUACCAAGAAACAAGCAGACUCAUAUCCUAGGUAACGCAUUCAAAAAACCAUUAUAAUACUAUUUAAAAAGCAUUGAUACAAUGAAACAGCAAAAUGAAAAAUUACCUGAAAAUCAAGCUCAGACGAGUUGCCUUUAUGAGUCUCGCCGGUUUCAUACUCAGGAAUCGAAUCUAACGCAGCCACUCUAUUAUGCAUCUUCUUCCUAAAACCAAGCUGAAGCGUCUUGGUCAAGAUGAUAGGUGUUCCCGAGAAGCAACCAGUGACAUACACUUCAACAGUCGGCAACAACGGAGAUGAUGACAUCUCAGAACAACCAAUGUGUUUCUUCUUCUCCUUCAAGAAACCACACCCUGCAGUGAUCUCAGCUUCACAGUUCAUCCCCCACCGCUUCACGCCAUGCUUAACAGACUCCCCUGUGAAACCAUUACUACCAGACAACUCUAAAGUCCCAGACAAAACAAGCUCAUCUCUGUCAUACACCUCAAACCUCACGCUACCAGAUAGCCUGAUAUUGUCUGUGCUGAUGAAAGUAACCGCUUCUGAUCUCUUAUCAACACGGUCUCUCCUCAGCUGAGAGGAAACUCCUUGAGAGUACCGAACACCGUUGAUCUCGAGGAGCGAGUCAGGAUCCAGAGGGAUGUGGGUGAGGGUGAGGACCUCAGGUGUGGAAUCAUCCGCCUUGAAGUUGCUGAUUCUGACAUAGAACACUCUCAAAUCCAACAAUGGUGAUGAUGAUGUUCUGUUGUAGCCCUGAUGAUAUCUAACCAUCUGAUAUGCUUCACCGUUGUUGUUGCGUGUCUCGUAAGGCUCCUCCAUAAUUAAGAAGUACUAGAAUCAAUCCCUAAUGUGAUGUGAAAUAGAAAUCAUUCAUUAACCAAAUCGUAACGAAAGAAAUGUAAAGAUUCAAACUUUAAUCACUUUGCCAAAAACAGAGAGAUGGGUCAAAAAUUUACAGAUGUGGAAAUCACAUCUUAAGUUGAAAAAAAAAAACAAAUUAACAAACUUUAAAGCUUUAAAACUACGUUUCUAUCAGAAAGGAACUAUCUUUUCUUUUCAAAACAAAAAUAGAAUUUUCUAAAAAAAAAACUCAGAAAAAUCCGCAGAAAGGAGAGAGGAAGCUCACCGAGGAGAUGGUUCCAUCCACGAGCCCAGAGAAUUACAAUCUGAUGAUUUUUUACAAACUAGUGAUUAGCAUUGAUCUUCCUCCUCCUCCUGCCUGCGUCUCCAAAAUUAAGGAAAGCAAAAAAUAGAAACUUUAUGUGUGGCCAAGUAGGAUUCUGAUUAGAUCUCUCGUAGAUCAUAGAUUUCCAUUAUAUUGCGAGCUCGGCGCGUGGCAGAGGAUUAACGACGAAAGGUUUUGUCUUUAUGGAGGAUAAUUUUGUAUUUUAAUUAGGAGGAAAAGAUUAUUAUAUAUAAUGAGAAAAAGAAAAAAGGAAGAGUGAUGGGAAGAGGUUUGAGAUGUCUCGUUGUUAUGAUCCAACAGGGAGAAGAGGAGAUGGGCUCUUCUGAACGACUUUCCAUCACGUGAUCAUCCUUAUCCUCUUCUUUGGACCAACAAAAAGUCACUGUUUACGAGACACACCGCGUCGGGUCGCUUUUACUAAAACGACGCGAAAUGUCCUGACGUUCGUUGAAAACUGCACGUUGUUGGGCUUUUUUAGUCAAGUGUUGAGCUUUUAAAUUUACAUAUUUCUUGAUAAAAAGGUGGACAUCGUGCCGUUUUGCUUAGGAGUUAAUAAAUUUUGUUGCAAAAACGUUUCAUUUUCUUUAAAACAAAAUUUUAAGUUGAAUAAUCGUUUCUUGAACUACAUACGUAUACGUUGACUGUACCAUCAAUCGUGUUCAAUGAAAUGAAUCUCACAUGAUAAACAUACGUUUUCAGUUAAUAUUGAAUUAAAAUAAGAUCUAAGAAAGUGAAACAAGUUUAACAAAAAAAAAAACAAAAAAAAAAGUGAAACAAAACCAAAAGGACUUUCAUUAGAAGUCAAACCUAACACACAAAUUGCAGCUAGCAACCAGUAGUGAUAAGGUUGCAAAUAUUCUUCACUAGAUUUAUAACUUCAGUCGAUGGAGAUUGAACAACAACUUUACUCAAAACUUUCACUUGAUUCUUAGUUUUUUUUUUUUUUGCGUAGUGUUAGUUAGCCAACUAGUUAGUUAGCUGAGUCAUGCUUUGUCUGUGUGAUUCAAGUCACAUGAACCAAGUGAACAUUUCUUGUCUAGUGUCCAUUUGCAUGUCUGUGACUUCUCUGCUGUGCUGUUCUUCCCUCAUGAAUAAUAGAUUUUGAUACUGCACACUAGUGUGUUAUUCAAAAUGUUUCGCCGCAAGACUACUUCGCAAGCUGAACAAGAGAAUAAUGAAGCAGCUCUCAGAGAGGCAAAGGUACAAACUUUCCAUGACUCUCACUUAUAAACUGAAUAACUGAUUCUUGAAAGAUCAUUUCUUUACUGAUCUUAAUGAUCCACAGAUCAAAGAGGUCAAGACUCUCAUAGGUGAGCUCUCUGGAAGGAGUUCACUCUACUGUUCAGAUCCCUGUCUCAAGAGAUAUCUUGAAGCUAGGAACUGGAACGUUGGCAAAGCCAAGAAGAUGCUUGAAGAGACGCUGAAAUGGAGAUCAACCUUCAAACCUGAAGAGAUCCGUUGGGUAAGUCAUCAACCACAUUCCUUAAGAGUAGGCUUCCUCUGAAACCUUAUCAACUUAAAGGCUUGCUUUGUUUUUUUUUUUACUAGGAUGAAGUUUCAGGUGAAGGUGAGACUGGGAAAGUCUACAAAGCUGGAUUCCAUGACAGAAGUGGAAGAACGGUUCUUAUACUCAGACCUGGAUUGCAGAACACCAAGUCUUUGGAGAACCAGAUGAAACAUUUAGUGUAUCUCAUUGAGAAUGCUAUUAUGAAUCUCCCGGAGGAUCAAGAGCAGAUGUCUUGGCUCAUUGAUUUUACAGACUGGUCGCUGAGCACCAGUGUGCCUAUCAAAUCCGCCAGGGAAACUAUCAACAUACUGCAGAAUCACUACCCUGAGAGACUAGCUGUCGCUUUCCUCUAUAACCCUCCAAGGCUCUUUGAGGCAUUCUGGAAGGUUAGAAGGCAAAUCACUGAUUCUGACUCAUAGAGUUAUACAAAACAUUAGUUAAUGAUGAGUGUUUGUUGUGUGUGUGUUGUUCUGCAGAUAGUGAAGUACUUCAUUGAUGCAAAGACAUUCAUCAAGGUGAAGUUUGUUUACCCGAAGAACCCUGAAAGCGUGGAGCUUAUGAGCUCAUUUUUCGACGAGGAGAACCUCCCAACGGAGUUUGGAGGGAAGGCUUUGUUGCAGUAUAACCAUGAAGAGUUCUCUAAGCAAAUGAACCAAGACGAUGUUAAAACUGCAGACUUUUGGGGAUUGGUUCAUAGUAACAACAAUCACCAGCAGCAGUCCAGCAGUGGAUU
rnacentral:lncRNA from 1 species